rnacentral:rRNA from 1 species
UACGUAGGGCGCGAGCGUUGUCCGGAAUUAUUGGGCGUAAAGAGCUCGUAGGCGGUCUGUCGCGUCGGCUGUGAAAUCCCGGAGCUCAACUCCGGGUCUGCAGUCGAGUAACGGGCAAACUGGAGUAGCUGCAGGGGAGACUGGAAUUCCUGGUGUAGCGGUAGAAAUGCGCAGAUAUCAGGAGGAACACCGGUGGCGAAGGCGGGUCUCUGGGCAGUAACUGACGCUGAGGAGCGAAAGCGUGGGGAGCGAACAGG